rfam:Gossypium raimondii Chr07_contig_609, whole genome shotgun sequence.
UUUUAAAAAUUCCAUCCCUUUGUUCUAUUAAAAAUUAGCUUGCCUAAUAAAAUAACCAGAUAGUGACAUGUAGCAUGCCACAUGUACCUUCUGUUGAAGUAUAGAGACCAAUUUUUAAUAAUAAUAAUUAAUGAAAUUUUUAAUA